AAUGAACGUUGGCAGCGUGGAUUAGGCAUGCAAGUCGAGCGACAAGGUCCUUCGGGACUGGAGGAGCGGCAAACGGGGUAGGUAAUACAUCGGAACGUACCCUCACGUCUGGGAUAGCCACGGGAAACUGUGGGUAAUACUGGAUAAUCUCACCACUUGUGAAGAGUGGUGAGCAAAGGUCCGCCGCGUGAGGAGCGGCCGAUGCGAUACUAGAUAGUUGGUGGGGUAAUGGCCUACCAAGUCUAAGAUGUCUAGGGGGUGGUGAGAGCAUGGCCCCCACCACUGGGACUGAGACACUGCCCAGACACCUACGGGUGGCUGCAGUCGAGAAUCUUUGGCAAUGGGCGCAAGCCUGACCAAGCGACGCUGCGUGCGGGAUGAAGGCCCUUGGGUUGU
rnacentral:rRNA from 1 species